rnacentral:lncRNA from 1 species
AAAGGCUCCGCCGUUCUCUCUCGUUUCCUCCUCUGUAAAACCCUAAAAAAAUUUUAGAUCUGUCUGGGAAGUUACUCCGGUGAUCGGCGCUUCUCGUCAUCACUGUGAGUGGCUUCCCCUUUGGUUGUGCUGUAGUUAUUGUGGCCCUGCAGUUCGUCUAUCCUCUUAAUUUCGUUGGAGAAAAGCUUAUCUUGAAAGAAAUAGCAGAUCUUCAUUGCGAAAGUGUUUGGUCUCGUCGUGGUCAGCUGCUCCCCAGAGAGUUGUUGUUGGGUGUCCAAGAUCUUUUGAUCCAGCGGGUGCUUCUUUUCUUGUAUCUUUUGGUGAAGAAUUGCAGAUCUCUGUGGAGGUUUGGUGUUCUGAAAUCCAUGGCCAUGAUCUCGCUGUUCUCUUUUGUUCGGUAAGCCGGCUUGCUAGUCGUCUUUUCUUCGACUUUGUGUUAAAGUUAGAUGGGUUUGCUUUACUUGGCUGUUCUUCGUGGGUUAUUUUUCUAGUUGGUCUUUGGUAAUUUUAGUUGCCUUUCGUCUGGGAAGUCCUCAUGUUUGAGUCUAGUGAUGAUGUUGUGUGUUGGUGGUAUUGUUGGAGCGGUCAUAUCAUUUGGGUCAUGCAUUUGCAGCGAAUGUGAGGAUUCCGGAUCGUUUAGAUCGACGGGUUAGGCUCAAUUUAAAAAGGUCUCUGUCUCUGUUUGAUCCAAUUUGUUUUGGUUGCCGUUCAUGUGGUUGAUGUUUCUACGCCACCAGUUAUCGCUUUGUCUCCUCGUCUCAUCCUUGGGUUUCCUUUGAGUUCGAAUCCCUUCUAAGCAAAGGUUUCGCUUUGUUUGAGUGAAAUGCUAGUUUCUGGAGUUCACCGAGUUCUUAAUUCUUGUUGUUGUCCCUUGUGAAUGGUAGCUUCUCGAUCCUCCGUCGGUCUCGUUUAUGUGAUUGAUGUUUUUCGUGGAGUUAGGCCUCGCUCCUCACGUUUUGAAGACUUCAAGGUUUGUCGUUCUUUGACGUAUCAACGUCGACGUCGCCUCCGGAAGUGAGUGGUCUUGCUUGUCGCGUGUUAUGAAGUCACUGGUUACUGGUUUCGAGAGAUCGGCUCUCAUCGUGUUAGGAGGUGGUUGAUGUUAUCUUGUUUUGGCCGUGGGCAUUCUUGAUAAAUCUCAUUCGAUUGCGCUUCAGAGGAAGAAGUUUCUUGGUUUUCUUGGUUCUAUCGUCUCUAUUAAGGUUCUUUAGCCGGUUGCCUUGGUUCUUAGAAUCUGGUUUCGUCUCCUUUCGAUAUGGUUAAAAUUUGUAUUUUCUAUUUUGUCUUUC